UCACCGAGUUGUCAGAUGUCUUCCUCCU
rnacentral:piRNA from 1 species